rnacentral:rRNA from 1 species
UACGGGGGGGGUAAGCGUUGUUCGGAAUUACUGGGCGUAAAGGGCUCGUAGGCGGCCAACUAAGUCAGACGUGAAAUCCCUCAGCUUAACUGGGGAACUGCGUCUGAUACUGGAUGGCUUGGAUUCGGGAGAGGGAUGCAGAAUUCCAGGUGUAGCGGUGAAAUGCGUAGAUAUCUGGAGGAAUACCGGUGGCGAAGGCGGCAUCCUGGACCGACAUUGACGCUGAGGAGCGAAAGCUAGGGGAGCAAACGGG